rnacentral:tRNA from 1 species
AAGUUAGUUUUUUGAUAAUAGGUUUUGGCCGAUAACUAAAACUAGGAGGUUUGAUUCCUCCCUAGCUUU